GACGUAGGGCGCGAGCGUUGUCCGGAUUUAUUGGGCGUAAAGAGCUCGUAGGCGGCUUGUCGCGUCGUCCGUGAAAACCCACAGCUCAACUGUGGGCUUGCGGUCGAUACGGGCAGGCUAGAGUUCGGUAGGGGAGACUGGAAUUCCUGGUGUAGCGGUGAAAUGCGCAGAUAUCAGGAGGAACACCGGUGGCGAAGGCGGGUCUCUGAGCCGAUACUGACGCUGAGGAGCGAAAGCGUGGGGAGCGAACAGG
rnacentral:rRNA from 1 species